GACGAACGCUGGCGGCGUGCUUAACACAUGCAAGUCGAACGAUGAAGCCGGAGCUUGCUCUGGUGAAUUAGUGGCGAACGGGUGAGUAACACGUGAGUAACCCGCCCUUGACUCUGGGAUAACUGCUAGAAAUGGUAGCUAAUACCGGAUACGACCCUCGGAGGCAUCUCCAGGGGGUGGAAAGAAUUUCGGUCAAGGAUGGACUCGCGGCCUAUCAGCUAGUUGGUGAGGUAACGGCUCACCAAGGCGACGACGGGUAGCCGGCCUGAGAGGGUGACCGGCCACAAUGGGACUGAGACCCGGCCCAGGCUCCUACGGGAGGCAGCAGUGGGGAAUAUUGCACAAUGGGCGCAAGCCUGAUGCAGCAAUGCCGCGUGAGGGAUGACGGCCUUCGGGUUGUAAACCUCUUUUAGUAGGGAAGAAGCGAAAGUGACGGUACCUGCAGAAAAAGCACCGGCUAACUACGUGCCAGCCGCCGCCGUAA
rnacentral:rRNA from 1 species